GCUCUUUAAGGUUGUGAAAUCUCUUUUUAACUCAUGGUAGUUAGUGAAACUGGCUUAUUAAUUAAACAUGCGUUCUCUUUGACUUAAAAAGGGAAUCCUUUUUCCUUCAACUUUUCAAUCAUCUCUUAAUGUGUUUUUUCAAUUUGCAAGAAAUAUUUUUCAUUUGAUCUUGUAUAGUUGCUUUGGGUCCUUUUGAAGAAGGUUCAACUCCCUCACAUUAAUUAUCGCAAUAUUCUGCUGUUAGGUGCUA
rnacentral:misc_RNA from 1 species